rnacentral:rRNA from 1 species
AAGACCUUGCGCUUUUGGAGCGGCCGAUGUCUGAUUAGCUGGUUGGUGGGGUAAUGGCCUACCAAAGCUUCGAUCAGUAGCUGGUCUGAGAGGACGGCCAGCCACACUGGGACUGAGACACGGCCCAGACUCCUACGGGAGGCAGCAGUGGGGAAUUUUGGACAAUGGGCGCAAGCCUGAUCCAGCCAUGCCGCGUGAGUGAAGAAGGCCUUCGGGUUGUAAAGCUCUUUCAGCCGGGAAGAAAAGGCUGCGACUAAUAAUCGCAGUUCAUGACGGUACCGGAAGAAGAAGCACCGGCUAACUACGUGCCAGCAGCCGCGGUAAUACGUAGGGUGCGAGCGUUAAUCGGAAUUACUGGGCGUAAAGGGUGCGCAGGCGGUUUUGUAAGUCAGAUGUGAAAUCCCCGGGCUUAACCUGGGAACU